UUACGGCUAUGUCACGUUGAAACAUCGCUUCCCGUACGAUCACCGAAGUUAAGCAAUGUCGAGGCUGGUCAGUACCUAGAUGGGUGACUCUUAGAAAUUCCAGGAGCUGUAAG